GAUGAACGCUAGCGGCAGGCUUAAUACAUGCAAGUCGUGGGGCAGCAGGACUGUAGCCCUACAGUUGCUGGCGACCGGCAAACGGGUGCGGAACACGUACGCAACUUACCCUGAACUGGGGGAUAGCCCGGGGAAACCCGGAUUAAUACCCCGUAAUAUAAUGGAGUGGCAUCACUUUAUUAUUAAAGCUCCGGCGGUUCGGGAUGGGCGUGCGGCUGAUUAGGUAGUUGGUUGAGGUAACGGCUCACCAAGCCUACGAUCAGUAACUGGUGUGAGAGCACGACCAGUCACACGGGGACUGGGACCCGGGCCCGACUCCUACGGGAGGCAGCAGUAAGGAAUAUUGGGCAAGGGAGGCAACUCUGACCCAGCCAUGCCGCGUGGAGGAUGAAGGCCCUCGGGGUUGUAAACUUCUUUUAUAGGGGACGAAACCUGUGUAUUCUUACGCAGUUGACGGUACCCGAGGAAUAAGCACCGGCUAACUCCGUG
rnacentral:rRNA from 1 species